GUGAUCUAGGGUCCAUGACAAAAAGCUACCAAGCUCUAGGUCACAGGGUACCCUGCGGCAAUGAUUUCUGGACAGAAUUCUUGCCAGCCACUAAAUAUUUGUUAAUUUUAUGUCAUCUGGGGGCGGGAUAGCUCAGUCGGUAGUGAUGGC
ensembl:ncRNA T27A8.6 ncRNA